rnacentral:rRNA from 1 species
AGCGUCAAGUACCGUGAGGGAAAGUUGAAAAGUACUUUGAAGAGAGAGUAAACAGUGCGUGAAACCGGUCAGAGGUAAACAGGUGGAGUUGAACUGCAAGCUCUGGGAAUUCAGCUGGUGAGUGUGGUUUGAGCUUGGUUAAAUCGGUUGGACCCUGAAGUCUGUGUAGCAGCAGGCCUUCGCCUUUCGGGGUGGGGGUGCGCGAUGCACUUAUCAAGUGUUGUGCGCUUUGGGUGUUCUUCGGGCCGACUUGCCAGUGCACUUUCUCAGAGUAGUCACCACGACCGGCACUGCUGUCUGGCUGUUGUGGUUAAACCGGUCUUGCAUUGUCCUUGUGGCUCUGCUUGGUCGGGAUGGCAGGUAGCUCGUUGGCUUGCCUGUAGCUUGCUACGGGUAUUUGGUCUUCGAGUGUAAUCAGCUGACCGCAUCGGUUCUGUGCAGUGUGUCGGAGACGGCGGCUUUUGUGUGUGCGUGCGUGCCUGUUCGGCCGGCGUGUUCGAGUUUGGUUGUUAUGUUGCCUGUUUAUGCAGGCCUGAUGAUAGCUCGGAUUCGUUCGGUUGACGGUUGCGUGCGUGACACAGCUCAUGGGCCAAUAGUCUGUGGUGUAGUGGUAGACUAUCCACCUGACCCGUCUUGAAACACGGACCAAG